CCCUUAGAUGUUCUGGGCUGCACGUGCGCUACAAUGCGGGGUGCAUCGAGUAUACAACCUUGACUGAGAGGUCUGGGUAAUCUUUUGAACGCCCCGCGUGCUGGGGAUAGAUGAUUGUAAUUAUUCAUCUUCAACGAGGGAUUCCUAGUAAACGCAAGUCAUCAACUUGCAUUGAUUACGUCCCUACCCUUUGUACACACCGCCCGUCGCUACUACCGAUUGGAUGGCUUAGUGAGGUUGAGGGAUUGCGCUUUCGUGUUGCAUUGCUUCACGGAAAUGCGAGAACUCCAUCAAACUUGACCAUCUAGAGGAAGUAAAAGUCGUAACA
rnacentral:rRNA from 1 species